GCCCUGGUAGCUCAGUUGGUUGGAGUACUGUCCUGUAUGUACACCAGAGAGCUGCGGGUUCGAUUCCUGGUCAGGGUA
rnacentral:tRNA from 1 species